AGAUUGAACGCUAGCGGGAUGCUUUACACAUGCAAGUCGAACGGCAGCGCGGACUUCGGUCUGGCGGCGAGUGGCGAACGGGUGAGUAAUAUAUCGGAACGUGCCCAGUAGCGGGGGAUAACUACGCGAAAGCGUGGCUAAUACCGCAUACGUCCUACGGGAGAAAGCAGGGGACCUUCGGGCCUUGCGCUAUCAGAUGAGCCUAGGUCGGAUUAGCUAGUUGGUGGGGUAAUGGCUCACCAAGGCGACGAUCCGUAACUGGUCUGAGAGGAUGAUCAGUCACACUGGAACUGAGACACGGUCCAGACUCCUACGGGAGCAGCAGUGGGGAAUAUUGGACAAUGGGGACGAAAGCCUAGAUUCAGCCGUGCCGCGUGUGUGAAGAAGGUCUUCGGAUUGUAAAGCACUUUAAGUGGAGGAAGGCAAGUUACCUAAUACGUAUCUUGUUUGACGUUACGACAGAAUAAGCAACGGCUAACUCUGUCGCCAGCCAGCCGACGGUAA
rnacentral:rRNA from 1 species